rnacentral:rRNA from 1 species
UACGUAGGGGCCUAGCGUUGUCCGGAUUUAUUGGGCGUAAAGAGCUCGUAGGCGGUUCGGCAAGUCGGAUGUGAAAUCUCCACGCUUAACGUGGAGGGGCCAUUCGAAACUGCCGUGACUCGAGUCCGGUAGGGGAGUGUGGAAUUCCCGGGUGUAGCGGUGAAAUGCGCAGAUAUCAAGAGGAACACCUGAGGUGAAGACGGGUUGCUGGGCCAACACUGACGCUGAGGCGCGAAAGCCAGGGGAGGCAAACGGG